GGCACCUGUAGCCCAUUUCCUGCACACGCCUGUGAGCAAUAAACAGCAUCCCAUGCUUGGGUUUUAGUCUACUUUUUCACAUGAAUAACAGCAUAGAGAUGCGAAGAGAAUGCAUCCUCAAAGCACUGUGUGUAUACUUAAAUGAGGACCAUUUACAGCUGUUCAAGGAGUACAAUUAGUCCUAUGUUCCCUGAACAUAGCACAUACCGAACCGUACCGAAACCGUGACCCUAAAACUGUGAUAUGAACUGAACCGUGAGCAUUUUGAACCGUUGCUCCCCUAAUGUUUACUGUCAUUAUUAAAGAUUUUUGUUCUACAAAUGAAACACAUUUUAUUUGUUUUGCACAGGAUUGCGACUGGGUGAAUGCCAAAAAAGCCAUAGAGCAGAUGGUAAUGGGGAUCUACAUCGUCCGAUCCGAAGGACACCAACCAGGGGAUAAGCCUGUGGAUGUUGGUAUUGUGAUUGAAGGGACUGAGGUUCUAUGCUCUUUGAAGAACGUAGCUGUAGCAGUGGCCAUGCUGGACUUACUUACGCCUUGAACCUCAGCUAUCCACGAGAACCCAAACUUCCCUUUUAAGUCUUCCAGAAAGUGUUCUUUAACUUGGAUGGACAAAAACUUUCACCAAAGGUAAAAGCCCGCAAGAACAAGAUGCUGGAGUAAGUUACCUAACGUGUGUAGUCUCAAAAGACUCAAUCUUGAUGCAAGAAGGUAGUAGCCUAUCACAUUCGUAUAUUAUCACACCAUUUAAAGUCCCAUGCCUGAUUUGAUGAGGCCACUUCUGAAUGACGUCUUACAGAGCUUGACUUGAAUGACUCUAAAAUAUAAUUUAAAGCAUUUAUGAGCCCCUAUAAAAUCAGACAUUUGUAAAACAUCUUCUAUUGAGAUAGGGAGAUGCGCUUUCCAAAGCAUGUAGUUCGCACCUACAACCAGCAGGGGCCAACUAAACCAUUCUAACCAGCCCAACCUUGAGCCUUAACCAGUACAAUCCUGAUAAUUAAAUAACCCUAUAAAUUGCUCUUUGGGUAUUGAAGUAGAAGAGGUUAAAUGUUGAGAGGGUUUUUUUUUUCCCAGAUACUAGGCUGAGUAAGUACCAGAUAAAACCAUGCAACCACAUCACCACACCGACCGCUACACAGUUUCAGGAGAAAAACUAAGCAAACUUAAGUAUGACUGAUUACCUACAAGCCACCAUCUAAUGAGGCAAUGAGGCCAUCUAACAUGAAUGUGGUUGCACAGUUUUAAAACAUAACCAUGAGUCAGCAGAAGUUAUAUUUAUUCAUUCUUCUCAUUGCAGGUCAAGUGUGAGGAAAAUUUUUUUUAUUGAGAAACUUGUUCAAAGGAAAUGAUGACUGAUUGGCUAAAGCCUUUAAAGUAACUAAAAAUGCACAAGAAGAGUCGUGUGGAGGGGUGUGGUUAGUAUCAGCGCAUGUGUGUGGGUUGUUUGUCAAACAGUGCUGUAUAGAUGUCUGUUGUUGUGGCAGAAGUGUGAAGAUGUUCACACCUCUGUUUUAUUCAAAAUAAAUAACUAUAUAGAAAAAUAAGAAAACCUAAUGAUGUUUGGUUCUUUACAUGAGGAUUCUGUACAAAAAUACUCAGGUUUCCUGCAAAAUACUUCUUCAAUGGCACAUCCAGUGUAGUUGAAUUACAAAUUAUUCUAAUGAGUUUUUGGAUCUGUUGCAAAACUGUUUCUCUGUAUUCCUUGUGUAAGUUGGAUUAAAGAUGACUGUUUUCUUAAUUUUGUCUCCAUGAGCUCUGAUGAAAUAAAUAAAGCAUGUAUUGUGUUUUCUGAUUACAGAAUGAAAGACUCUAAAGGUGAUGAUACAUGGGGCAACUUUUUGAGCUAUGUUAUGACUAAUGUGUGGGUUAUUUCAUGUGAAACCAACACACAACUAAGAAACUAGACACUUUGUAUAAAAUAUUUUAUAAAUAAAAAUGAAAUGAAAUGAAAAUGUGUUUAGCAUGGUUUUAUAGUUAGUAGAGUUAAUGCCGAUUAUUGGAUUUCAUUAUUAUAGUUGUUCAAAGAGUUACACAGCUUUGGGUGGGGUGCACACUGUCUCUCUUUUGAGAAAUGAGAAGAUAUGGUGUAGAGUACUCUCAGAGUUUGCUCAUUUCACCAUUGAUUCAAAAGGAGCAUUUCUGAAUUUGCAUUUCACAAUGUCACAUCAAUUCA